rnacentral:rRNA from 1 species
AGCAGUAGCCACGGUAAUACGUAGGGUGCAAGCGUUAAUCGGAAUUACUGGGCGUAAAGCGUGCGCAGGCGGUUAUAUAAGUCAGAUGUGAAAUCCCCGGGCUCAACCUGGGAACUGCAUUUGAGACUGUAUGGCUAGAGUGUGUCAGAGGAGGGUAGAAUUCCACGUGUAGCAGUGAAAUGCGUAGAGAUGUGGAGGAAUACCGAUGGCGAAGGCAGCCCCCUGGGCCAAUACUGACGCUCAUGCACGAAAGCGUGGGGAGCAAACAGGAUUAGAUACCCCGGUAGUCCCUGUCUCUUAUAC